rnacentral:misc_RNA from 1 species
UACCACAAAUAUUGCUCCAUAGAACCAAACAAGCCCGGCCCCUCUUACUCCUCCACGCCCACCACCACAACCACCACCUUCUCCUCUCCACUGCGUCCUUGUGAUCUCAGUAUAAGGUAAUAGCAAACAGAAUAGGAAAAGGAACAAGAUUCGCAGAGCCCGAUUCCUAUGCUCUGAUAAUUUAGUGACGCCCAGAGGAAGAGAAAAAAAUAGAAAGAGAGAGAAAUGGGAGGAGGAGAAAGAGGAGAAUACAGCGAUGAAAAUCAUAUGUUGAUAUCAAACAGUAACAGAGGAGAACACGACGAUGGUGGAGAGGACUUGGAAGAUCAAGGCAUCAUCAGUACGCCUAGUCGUCUCAGCAAAGGAGGAAGCGGCGGUGCUAUUAAGGAUCUCAUCCUCAAACAUUUGGAUCGAGGCCUUUCUGGUCGCCGUCUCUCCAGUUUCAAGCGUCUCGAUAGAGAUACUAACAGAGAUAUGUCGCUGCAUUCUCAUUCUCGUAAUCAUAGUCAUAAUCAUGAGGAUUUUGGCGGACAUCAUGGUGAUGAUGAUGAUGUUCUCGGGGAUAGCGCACCUCCCGAGUGGGUUUUGCUUCUUAUUGGUUGCCUUCUUGGCCUUGCCUCCGGUCUCUGUGUCGCUGCUUUUAAUAAAGGGGUUCACGUAAUACAUGAAUGGGCUUGGGCUGGGACUCCUAAUGAGGGUGCUGCAUGGCUUCGUCUACAGAGGUUGGCUGACACUUGGCAUCGAAUUCUUUUGAUACCAGUAACAGGGGGGGUUAUUGUUGGGAUGAUGCAUGGCUUAGUGGAAAUAUUAGACCAAAUAAGACAGACCAGUCCUUCCCAAAGACAAGGUGUUGAUUUGGUUGCUGGAGUUUUCCCCACGAUAAAGGCCAUUCAAGCUGCUGUUACUCUAGGUACAGGUUGUUCUUUGGGUCCUGAAGGCCCUAGUGUUGAUAUUGGAAAAUCGUGUGCCAAUGGACUUUUAUUAAUGAUGGAAAACAACAGAGAAAGGGAGAUUGCUCUUGUUGCAGCUGGUGCGGCAGGCGGGGUUGCUUCUUCAAUGCAGCUGUUGCUGGUUGUUUCUUUGCUAUUGAAACUGUGUUAAGGCCACGGCGUGCUGAAAAUUCACCUCCAUUCACAACUGCAAUGAUAAUAUUGGCUUCUGUUAUAUCAUCAACUGUAUCAAAUGUCUUACUUGGUACACAAUCAGCUUUUACAGUGCCACCUUAUGAUUUGAAAUCUGCUGCUGAAUUACCUUUGUACCUGAUCUUGGGCAUGCUCUGUGGUGUUGUAAGUGUGGCCUUUACUCGCUUGGUCUCUUGGUUCACCAAGUCAUUUCAGUUUAUCAAGGAAAAAUUUGCCCUUCCUGCUGUUGUUUGUCCUGCUUUAGGUGGUUUAGGAGCUGGGAUAAUCGCUCUCAGGUAUCCUGGGAUACUGUACUGGGGUUUCACAAAUGUUGAAGAAAUUUUACGUACCGGGAAGAGUGCUUCAGCUCCAGGAAUCUGGUUGUUAACCCAACUAGCAGUAGCCAAAGUUGUGGCUACAUCUCUUUGCAAAGGUUCAGGUCUUGUGGGUGGUCUUUAUGCACCAAGUUUGAUGAUUGGUGCUGCUAUUGGUGCUGUAUUUGGGGGUUCAGCUGCUGAAGUUAUCAAUUCGGCCAUUCCUGGAAAUGCUGCUGUUGCUCAGCCUCAGGCAUAUGCAUUGGUUGGAAUGGCUGCUACAUUAGCUUCAGUUUGUUCGGUGCCAUUGACAUCGGUUCUCCUUUUGUUUGAGUUGACGAAAGACUACAGGAUAAUUCUUCCCCUCAUGGGGGCUGUUGGAUUAGCAAUAUGGGUUCCUUCUGUGGCCAACCAGGCAAAAGAGACUGAAGCAUCUGAUACACAUGCUUUGACAAGAGGUUAUUCUUCUCUUUCAAAUUCUGAAGACAUGAAUGAAAUCUGGAGAAGAAUUGAUGGUGGAGAUGAUCUAGAACUCUCCAUCAUAGAAAAUACUUCUGAUCAUGAAGCAAUCAAUCAAGAUUGGCUUUUGGAAGAUCUGAAGGUUUCUAGGGCCAUGUCAAAGAACUAUGUUAAGGUUUCAUUUCAUUGGCCUCAACUCUGAAAGAAGCCAUAGAGUGUAUGCAUAACAGCAAGCAGAAUUGUGUGCUUGUGGUUGAUGAUGAAGAUUUACUGGAUGGAAUGCUAACAUAUGGUGACAUUAGGCGGCUGUCUAAUAAGUCUGAUGAAGCACCCAUAGGGGAUUCAACAAUUACAGAUGUAAAUACCUGUCUUGUUUCAUCUGUUUGUACCCGAGGGAUAAGCUACAGAGGCCAAGAUCGCGGGCUUUUGACCUGCUAUCCAGACACUGAUUUGGCAAUUGCCAAGGAGCUAAUGGAGGCCAAAGGGAUCAAGCAGUUGCCUGUUGUUCAGAGGUGUAGAGGUUUCUGGAAAGAAAGGAAACGAAGAAUUGUUGCUAUUCUUCAUUACGAUUCUAUUCGGAACUGUCUCAGAGAGGAGAUAGCUCGUAGGAAGGCCAUGUAUCAGCAUAGAAUCGUAGCAUAGAAAAGAGAGUGGUCUAAUUGAAAGCAGCCAUUAAUGUGGCGAAGUUGCUUGUCAAAUUUAAGUUACUUUGGACGACCGUGUGAGGGACAGGUAGGAAGAGAGAUCAUGGUUGCGGAUGACAGGUAUAUACAUGUUUUGUUCCGAUGAUUGAGAAAUGAAAACAUACCAUAUAUAUAUAUAUAUAUGAUGGCUUUAGCUAUUGUCUAAGAUUAGUUGUAGCAAAUUGCAUUUUGUAUAUGAAAAUUUAUUUGGUUAUAUUCCAAUGUUAUCAAAAAGGAAAAGAAGGAACUUGUCAAUAGUUGAAUUACAAUUUUGCUGCUUUUUAUUCCUCCAAUUUUCUUCUCUUCUUGGGAAGUUUGGCACUUUUUCUAUAUAUAUGCA